GCGUUUUGCCUGCCGGGAGGGGAACGCCCCAACUCUGACGCACGUAGAGGCCUCCUGGCUGCUGUCCGUGCAGCUGGCGGCCUUUCCGCAGUCUCUGUCCUGCUUUCGCGGCUGCCGCCAGCCGCACCCCAAAGCAUCGCCUGGAACCCGGAGUUGUGAGAGUUGGACCUGAGCUCCCGACGUACCGCUUCGCCUUCACUCUGCUACUUCGACAUCCCCCCCUUGACGGACACCCCGGGUCUGCCGCAGGGAAGCUGCCGUAGCUGCGGCGGAAGCUGGAUUGUAGCUCGGGCCCCACAGCUGCCGGCUUUUCCGCCGACACCCGUCUCCCUUGCGUUUCUGUGCGGAACAAGGAGGAUGUGCAGGCGCUAGCGAGGAGCCUUGUCAAGGGGCUAGAGCAUUGUUGGAAACCUAGAGAGGAUUUGCAUCUCCUCUAACCUAGGCCGAAUGACCUGUUCAAGUAAAACCACCUUUUGAAGCAGUGACUAUCAAAUCUGAAAAGCAAUCAGUGUUUUCAUUAAUCUUUUUCUGGGGGAAACCUUAAUUCUAAGGAUUUAACAUCCUGAUAUUGGUGAUGGUUUACUUCAUUAAGUGCACAGCUGAGGACUAUGAGGACGAGCUUAGGACUGAACUAGAGAGGAGAACAUCACCCAGAGAUCUUGGACUUGGAGCUGGAUGCAGGACCUAAUGCAUCUAAACUCUUGAGUUUUCCCUUUUGGGGGAGAGAGAGCACAAGCAGGCAGAGGGGCAGAAGGGCAGAGAGAGAGGGAGAAGCAGACUCUCUGCUGAGCCCGGAACCCAAUGCUGGACUGGAUUUCAGGACCCUGGGGGAUCAUAUCUGAAGGCAGACAUUUAAUCGACUAAACCACCCAGGGUCAUUCCAGUGCCCUCUCUUGAUGAAGCUUGAGAUUCUGCCCCCUGACAAAGGAGAAGCUUCCACUAUCACAAAAUGCAGGGCAAAGAAGAGUGAAUCUACAAUGGAGAACCAAUAAAUUGAUAACUUGCACACCUUA